rnacentral:sRNA from 1 species
AAAGAUGGCGGACGCAUUCGGAGAUGAGCUGUUCAGCGUGUUCGAGGGCGACUCGACCACUGCGGCGGGAACCAAAAAAGACAAGGAAAAGGACAAGGGGAAAUGGAAGGGGCCUCCAGGGUCUGCAGACAAGGCAGGGAAACGUUUUGAUGGUAAAUUACAAUCAGAAUCAACUAAUAAUGGAAAAAAUAAGAGAGAUGUAGAUUUCGAAGGUACAGAUGAACCCAUUUUUGGAAAGAAGCCCAGGAUAGAAGAAUCAAUAACUGAAGACUUAAGUUUGGCAGACCUGAUGCCCAGAGUCAAGGUACAAUCAGUUGAAACUGUUGAAGGGUGCACACAUGAGGUUGCGCUUCCUGCAGAUGAGGAUUAUUUACCACUUAAACCACGAGUUGGAAAAGCUGCUAAGGAAUACCCAUUCAUUCUUGAUGCUUUUCAAAGAGAGGCCAUUCAGUGUGUUGACAAUAAUCAGUCUGUUCUAGUAUCUGCACAUACGUCAGCGGGAAAAACAGUAUGCGCCGAAGGCAACACAGGGUCUCAAACUCAAAUAGGCUGGUCUCAAACUCCUGGGCUC